rnacentral:rRNA from 1 species
ACGAACGCUGGCGGCGUGCUUAGCACAUGCCCGUCGAACGGAAAGGCCCUGCUUUUGUGGGGUGCUCGAGUGGCGAACGGGUGAGUAACACGUGAGUAACCUGCCCUUGACUUUGGGAUAACUUCAGGAAACUGGGGCUAAUACCGGAUAGGAGCUCCUGCUGCAUGGUGGGGGUUGGAAAGUUUCGGCGGUUGGGGAUGGACUCGCGGCUUAUCAGCUUGUUGGUGGGGUAGUGGCUUACCAAGGCUUUGACGGGUAGCCGGCCUGAGAGGGUGACCGGCCACAUUGGGACUGAGAUACGGCCCAGACUCCUACGGGAGGCAGCAGUGGGGAAUAUUGCACAAUGGGCGGAAGCCUGAUGCAGCAACGCCGCGUGCGGGAUGACGGCCUUCGGGUUGUAAACCGCUUUCGCCUGUGACGAAGCGUGAGUGACGGUAAUGGGUAAAGAAGCACCGGCUAACUACGUG